AAUGUCGGAAUGUGCUCCUGGUGUGAUCAGAAAACUAGAUGAGGUUGUGGUGAACAGGAUUGCUGCAGGGGAAGUUAUACAAAGACCAGCAAAUGCACUAAAGGAGAUGCUAGAGAACAGUUUGGACGCGAAGUGUUCUCAAAUCACUGUAACUGUAAGGUCUGGUGGAUUAAAGCUUCUACAGAUAGCUGAUAAUGGUACAGGGAUACGCCAGGAGGAUCUUCAGAUUGUAGCAGAGAGGUUCACCACUAGUAAACUUAAGGAUUUCAAGGAUCUAAGUAGUAUUGCUACAUACGGGUUUAGAGGAGAAGCAUUGGCAAGUAUAUCUCAUGUAGCACACCUCAGUAUACUCACUAAAACAAGAGACUCUGCUUGUGGAUACAAAGCCCAGUAUAUGGAUGGUAAACUGACUGGGACUCCUAAACCGAUGGCCGCUAAUCAGGGUACAACUAUUACUGUUGAAGAUCUGUUUUACAAUGUACCAAACAGAUUAGGAGCUCUUAAAUCUCAUACUGAGGAGUUUAACAAGAUAUCUGAAGUUAUGACAAGGUACGCCGUACACAAUUCUGGUGUUGGGUUUACCCUUAAGAAGGCUGGAGAGACUGGAGUUGAAGUUAAAACUCAAUCCCAGAAUAGUAUUGUAGACAACAUCAGAGCAUUGUAUGGACCUGCUGUGGCUAAGGAGCUGGUAGAAUUUAAGUUAGAAGACUCCAGGUACAAGUUCCAGGUGAAGGGUUGGGUGAGUAACGUAAACUACAGCGUGAAGAAAAUGGUCUUCUUGUUGUUCAUCAACCACAGGCUGGUCGACUCUACAGCUCUCAGGAAGAGUAUAGAAACUGUGUAUGCGAGCUACUUACCUAAGGGAAUGUCUCCGUUUAUCUAUUUAUCCCUGGAGAUCGCUGCCUGUAACGUGGACGUAAACGUUCACCCGACCAAACAUGAGGUCUUCUUCCUGCAUCAGGACGCUAUCAUUGAGAAGAUACAGCAGGGACUAGAGGAGAAACUGUUAAACUCGAAUGCAUCCCGAACCUUCUAUACACAGAAACUGUUACCUGGAGCUGGAGCUACCCUGGAGAUUCUGGAACCAAAGUCGAAGCUGGAAAAGACGAUUGCGCCGAAAGAUUUCGUCCGGACGGAUUCUUCAGAUCAGAAGCUGGACAAGUUCUUGGUCCGGAGUGAUGUUAAAGAUGUUAAAGAGACGAAAAUCCCCGAACCUGACUCCGUCAAUACUCCGGAGUUCAGAGAGUGUAAACUAUCCAGUAUCAAGAUUCUCAGACAAAAAUUUCAGGAGGCUAGCAGUAGCAUUGCACGUGAAAUGUUCUCCGCGCACAUAUUUGUUGGGUGCGUCAACAGGAAGCUAGCACUCUUCCAGCACUCCACUAAACUAUACCUCGCUAAUACAACCAAACUCUCUCAACAUUUAUUCAGACAGCUUAUGCUCCGGGAUUUUGGAAACCUAGGUGUCUUGAAACUAGAUCCAGCUCCUUCUAUCAGAGAACUCGCUCUUAUAGCGCUGGAUCUACCGGAGGCUGGAUGGAAGGAGGAGGACGGGUCGAAGGACGACCUCGCUGAGUACGUGGUGUCCACUCUCCUUCAGCACAAGGAAAUGUUGGACGACUACUUCUCCCUGCAGAUAGACAACAUUGAUGGUGAGCAUUGUAUAGUCGGACUACCCCUUCUCCUGGAUGACUACUGUCCCUGGCUUGCCGGACUACCCCUCUACGUCCUCCGUCUCUCUACUGAAGUUAACUACGAGGACGAGGCCGAGUGUUUUAGAACAAUGAUUGAAGAAACAGCCAGGUUCUAUAAGGUUCCUGGUGUAGAGGGAGCUAGAGUAGACCUGGAGCAACAUUCUACUCCAGAGGAGGAGAAGGAUUACAAGUUUGUUGUAGAACAUGUUGUGUAUCCAGCAUUCAAGAAAUAUUUGCUUCCUCCUGCAUCCUGUCUGACGGAUAAAUCUUUACUACAGAUUGCAAACCUGCCGGAUCUUUACAAAGUUUUUGAAAGAUGUUAAGUAUUUUCUCAGUCUUUAACCUACUCCGGAUAACAUAUUUCCUCGUAUUGAUAUGUUCAUGCGAUAUAUCGGAUAUAUCUUUUUCCUCCCAGUUUCAUGCAUAUUGAAAAUCUACCGAUUUUUACUAUGCACCAGGUACCUAAUACGCUCAUCUUAUACGCUUAUUUUAUGUAUAAAGUACAGUGCAUGUAUGUACACUUCACAAUUCAAUAACCUCAUUUUUAAAAAGUAAAUGUUUAAAAAAGAAUGUAUAUGAACUCAUAGUUUCUUCGUAAUUUUUGUGUUUUGAACAGAACCUCGAAUAUGAUUGUGUUCAGAUCCUGUUCCUUAAAGGGAGUGACCGACAAUGCAUGGUAGUUGAACGGAGAAUGUAGUAUUGUGGAGAAAUUUUUUAGGAUUCAUGAAACAAUUAA
rnacentral:misc_RNA from 1 species